rnacentral:rRNA from 1 species
AUUGAACGCUGGCGGCAGGCCUAACACAUGCAAGUCGAGCGGAUGAAGGGAGCUUGCUCCUGGAUUCAGCGGCGGACGGGUGAGUAAUGCCUAGGAAUCUGCCUGGUAGUGGGGGAUAACGUCCGGAAACGGGCGCUAAUACCGCAUACGUCCUGAGGGAGAAAGUGGGGGAUCUUCGGACCUCACGCUAUCAGAUGAGCUUAGGUCGGAUUAGCUAGUUGGUGGGGUAAAGGCCUACCAAGGCGACGAUCGGUAACUGGUCUGAGAGGAUGAUCAGUCACACUGGAACUGAGACACGGUCCAGACUCCUACGGGAGGCAGCAGUGGGGAAUAUUGGACAAUGGGCGAAAGCCUGAUCCAGCCAUGCCGCGUGUGUGAAGAAGGUCUUCGGAUUGUAAAGCACUUUAAGUUGGGAGGAAGGGCAGUAAGUUAAUACCUUGCUGUUUUGACGUUACCAACAGAAUAAGCACCGGCUAACUUCGUG